CCUACGGGUGGCAGCAGUGGGGAAUAUUGCUCAAUGGGGGAAACCCUGAUGCAGCGACGCCGCGUGAAGGAUGAAGGUAUUCGUAAUGUAAACCUCUUUCAGCAGAGAAGAAAAUGACGGUACCUGAGCAAUAAGCCCCGGCUAACUACGUGCCAGCAGCCGCGGUAAUACGGAGGGUGCAAGCGUUAUACGGAUUUACUGGGCGUAAAGGGUGCGUAGGCGGGAGUGUAAGUCAGGAGUGAAAGCCGGGGGCUCAACCCCCGAACUGCCUUGGAAACUGUACGUCUGGAGUGCGGGAGAGGUAAGUGGAAUUCGUAGUGUAGCGGUGAAAUGCGUAGAUAUCAGGAGGAACA
rnacentral:rRNA from 1 species